rnacentral:rRNA from 1 species
GAUGAACGCUGGCGGCGUGCUUAACACAUGCAAGUCGAACGGAAAGGCCCUGCUUUUGUGGUGUUCUCGAGUGGCGAACGGGUGAGUAACACGUGAGUAACAUGCUCCUGACUGUGGGAUAACUUCUGGAGACAGCGGCUAAUACCGGAGAGGAGCUCCUGCUGCACGGUGGGGGUUGGAAAGUGUCGGCGGUUGGGGCUGGACUCGCGGGUUAUCGGCUUGUUGGGGGGGUAGUGGCGUUCCAAGGCUUUGACGGGUAGCCGACCUGUGAGGGGGGCCGGCGACAUGGGGACUAAGGUACGGCCCAGUCGCGUACGGGAGGCAGCAGUGGGAAGUAUUACGCAGUGGGCGGGAGCCUGAGGCGACGGCGCCGCGUGCGGGAUGACGGCCUUCGGGUUGUAAACCGCUUUCGCCUGUGACGAAGCGUGAGUGACGGUAAUGGGUAAAGAAGCACCGGCUAACUACGUG